GGAAUUUUGGACAAUGGGCGAAAGCCUGAUCCAGCCAUGCCGCGUGAGUGAAGAAGGCCUUCGGGUUGUAAAGCUCUUUCAGUCGAGAAGAAAAAAUUUCGACAAAUAAUCGCAAUUCAUGACGGUAUCGACAGAAGAAGCACCGGCUACCUACGUUCCAGCAGCCGCGGUAAUACGUAGGGUGCAAGCGUUAAUCGGAAUUACUGGGCGUAAAGGGUGCGCAGGCGGCCUUGGAAGGCAGAUGUGAAAUCCCCGGGCUUAACCUGGGAACUGCGUUUGAAACUACAGGGCUAGAGUGUAGCAGAGGGGGGUGGAAUUCCAUGUGUAGCAGUGAAAUGCGUAGAGAUAUGGAAGAACAUCGAUGGCGAAGGCAGCCCCCUGGGUUAACACUGACGCUCAGGCACGAAAGCGUGGGGAGCAA
rnacentral:rRNA from 1 species